GCAACAUGACCUUCCCAACAACCCCAACAGAUUUGCUGUACAGACCAUCAAGGCCCUGCUCUGCUGUCUACACUGGGAGAACGAGGUGGUGGCUGUGGAGCGCAAGCGUGGCUGGGACACCCUGCUCCAUGCUGACACCCACCACUAUGCAGUGGGGCUGCUGGCCAGGCAGAUGCGCAGUUUCUUGAUCCCCUUCUUUUCUGACAUUGCAACCCACCUGCUUGGGCUGCUCAGCAGGGAGGAGCCCCGCUGGGAGCUCCCUGCACUUGCCUUCCUUGUUGAGCUCCUUGACUAUCUGGAUGGGAGAAAAUGUCAUGAGGGUGUCCUGCCUAUCCUAGCAAGGCACCUGCACAACCAGUGCCCUGAGAGCCGACGCCUGGCACUCAGAGGCCUCCUUGUGCUCAGUGUGGAUCCCUCAAUGGUGAGAAGGGGACACCCGGCUGAAGCCACACUGGCAGUUUGGGGCU